rnacentral:rRNA from 1 species
UACGUAGGGUGCGAGCGUUGUCCGGAAUUAUUGGGCGUAAAGAGCUCGUAGGCGGCUCGGCAAGUCGGGUGUGAAACCUCCAGGCUCAACCUGGAGACGCCACUCGAUACUGCUGUGGCUAGAGUCCAGUAGGGGAGCGUGGAAUUCCUGGUGUAGCGGUGAAAUGCGCAGAUAUCAGGAGGAACACCGGUGGCGAAGGCGGGUCUCUGGGCAACAACUGACGCUGAGGAGCGAAAGCGUGGGGAGCGAACAGG